rnacentral:rRNA from 1 species
AGGACGAACGCUGGCGGCGUGCUUAACACAUGCAAGUGGAGCGACGAACCAGGGCUUGCCCUGGGGCAGAGCCGCGAACGGGUGAGUAACACGUGGGUUACCUGCCUCGAUGACCGGGACAACCCGAGGAAACUCGGGCUAAUACCGGAUGUGCCCGCAAGGGGAAAGGAAGCUUCGGCCUCCGCAUCGAGAUGGGCCCGCGGCCCAUUAGCUUGUUGGUGAGGUAACGGCUCACCAAGGCUUCGAUGGGUAGCUGGUCUGAGAGGACGAUCAGCCACACUGGGACUGAGACACGGCCCAGACUCCUACGGGAGGCAGCAGUGGGGAAUCUUGCGCAAUGCGCGAAAGCGUGACGCAGCAACGCCGCGUGGGGGAAGAAGGCUUUCGGGUUGUAAACCCCUUUCAGUUGGGACGAAGCUUCUCCGGUGAAUAGCCGGAUGGAGUGACGGUACCUUCACAAGAAGCACCGGCUAACGUACGUGCCAGCAGCCGCGGU